rnacentral:rRNA from 1 species
GACGAACGCUGGCGGCGUGCUUAACACAUGCGGGUCGAACGGUAAGGCCCUUCGGGGUACACGAGUGGCGAACGGGUGAGUAACACGUGGGUGAUCUGCCCUGCACUUCGGGAUAAGCCUGGGAAACUGGGUCUAAUACCGGAUAGGACCACUGCCUGCAUGGGUGGUGGUGGAAAGCUUUUGCGGUGUGGGAUGGGCCCGCGGCCUAUCAGCUUGUUGGUGGGGUGAUGGCCUACCAAGGCGACGACGGGUAGCCGGCCUGAGAGGGUGACCGGCCACACUGGGACUGAGAUACGGCCCAGACUCCUACGGGAGGCAGCAGUGGGGAAUAUUGCACAAUGGGCGCAAGCCUGAUGCAGCGACGCCGCGUGAGGGAUGACGGCCUUCGGGUUGUAAACCUCUUUCAGCACCGACGAAGCGCAAGUGACGGUAGGUGCAGAAGAAGGACCGGCCAACUACGUGCCAGCCGCCGCCGUAA